UCCCGGUCUCCCCACCACAAACGCACAUGAAACGGAUGGGGGAUGUGAGCAAUCAUCCACCCCUCCGUUUUACAAUCUCCCCGUCCCUCCAAUACCUUCGCACUAUACACAGUACUUCGCACCAAGGCACUUCCUCCCGCACCGCACCAAGGCCCUUCCUGAUUGUAAGCACGUUCGAGCUCUUAGCUAUGGCGCUCGCGUUGGAUUCCCAUCAACCUUUUUCCCGUGGAAGGAGUGAUCGAUGCCGCAAUCCCGGUGCAGCCAAAUCAGUCUGUGCGCGCACCGUUGUUCUGCUCCGGGACCUCCUUCCGCCGGCGGCCUCGGACGAGCUGCUCUGUUCCGGUCCUUCCUCGCCAGAUGGCGUCCUCAGAUGCACCAGACGCGGCCAUCGCCGUCGCGGCCCCGAUUCCAGUCGGACGCUCUGCUCCGGGCCUCUCACGCCGGACGCUCCGGACGCGCCUGAUGCGGCCAUCCCGCGCAACUGAGGAAGCCUGUGCGCAGGCGUUGCCCUGGUACGGCCCCUCCUCGCACAGACAGCCACGAACCAUCUGGGGCAAAAGAAGCCGGCAGCGGCGGCAAGCAAUCCCAUCAGGCCACGAUUUGUUAAUGUUUGCUCUGGGAAGUCAAACCGAGUUGAAGCCUCCUUCGUCGAUGCUCAUCUCCGUCCAGUGUCUAGAUGGGAAAAAUUGGAGACCUGGCUGCCACCACCGCACCUACAGGACGCCUGCUUGGGAAUCUGAAAAACUCUAUGGCACCAAGUGUGUUGGGCGGACAAAACUGGAGCCCUCGCUGCCGCCACGGUGCCACCACGCGGCCACCUGAUCGGCAAAUCCGAAUCACUCUACAUGUACACCUUCAUCUUUAUUAGGUGUUCAACCAUCUUGCAUAAUUUGGGAUUCUUAUUGACUGUUGCUUCCUACCCGUUCAAUUUGUUGAUGUACCAGAUUCAUGGUGUUUGGAUUUAAUUGGAAGAAGUGAUUAUAGGCUGCCGCACGCAUAUGUUUAUCUAACUCAAACUAGACGAUGAAUGAUACCUGAGCCAGUCAUGUCGCUCAUCUUGAUCUGCCAUCUCCAUUUUCUCAGUCAGGUUGGAUGUAGAUCUACAUAACUAGAUUUUCGUGAAAUUUUACUCUUUGUAAUGUGCCAUUUGCAGGAAGGCCAUUGCUGCAGAUGGAUCCAAAUAAAUUUCCUGGCAUGUUCUCCGCAUCUUCGACUGAUGCUUUCAUGUCAUAUGGCGCUGGAGCAUAUCAAUGAUUUCCUUUUGUUCGGUCAUAUGAAUUCUUAUGAUGAGAUUGGAUUCUUUAUAGACAGGAAUCACCAACACACAUAGUUGAAUGAAAGUAUCACGUAUGUGCUACUACAUUUUUUAAUAGAUUAUGUCCGAUGGGGCUAGCGCAAACUGAUUCUUAUUAUGUAGAAUCAAUAUAUUGCUAUAUCAUGAUUGGUCUUUAUGCCCAGCGAAUAUUGAAUCCGCCUAAAUUGA